rnacentral:rRNA from 1 species
GUCAGUCGGACGGCAGCACGGCGAGCUUGCUCCUGGUGGCGAGUGGCGAACGGGUGAGUAAUAUAUCGGAACGUGCCCUAGAGUGGGGGAUAACUAGUCGAAAGAUUAGCUAAUACCGCAUACGAUCUACGGAUGAAAGUGGGGGAUCGCAAGACCUCAUGCUCAUGGAGCGGCCGAUAUCUGAUUAGCUAGUUGGUGGGGUAAAAGCUCACCAAGGCGACGAUCAGUAGCUGGUCUGAGAGGACGACCAGCCACACUGGAACUGAGACACGGUCCAGACUCCUACGGGAGGCAGCAGUGGGGAAUUUUGGACAAUGGGCGCAAGCCUGAUCCAGCAAUGCCGCGUGAGUGAAGAAGGCCUUCGGGUUGUAAAGCUCUUUUGUCAGGGAAGAAACGGUCUUGGUUAAUACCUGGGGCUAAUGACGGUACCUGAAGAAUAAGCACCGGCUAACUACGUGCCAGCAGCCGCGGUAAUACGUAGGGUGCAAGCGUUAAUCGGAAUUACUGGGCGUAAAGCGUGCGCAGGCGGUUAUACAAGACAGAUGUGAAAUCCCCGGGCUCAACCUGGGAAUUGCAUUUGUGACUGUAUGGCUAGAGUGUGUCAGAGGGGGGUAGAAUUCCACGUGUAGCAGUGAAAUGCGUAGAUAUGUGGAGGAAUACCGAUGGCGAAGGCAGCCCCCUGGGAUAACACUGACGCUCAUGCACGAAAGCGUGGGGAGCAAACAGGAUUAGAUACCCUGGUAGUCCACGCCCUAAACGAUGUCUACUAGUUGUCGGGUCUUAAUUGACUUGGUAACGCAGCUAACGCGUGAAGUAGACCGCCUGGGGAGUACGGUCGCAAGAUUAAAACUCAAAGGAAUUGACGGGGACCCGCACAAGCGGUGGAUGAUGUGGAUUAAUUCGAUGCAACGCGAAAAACCUUACCUACCCUUGACAUGUACGGAAUCCUGAAGAGAUUUAGGAGUGCUCGAAAGAGAGCCGUAACACAGGUGCUGCAUGGCUGUCGUCAGCUCGUGUCGUGAGAUGUUGGGUUAAGUCCCGCAACGAGCGCAACCCUUGUCAUUAGUUGCUACGAAAGGGCACUCUAAUGAGACUGCCGGUGACAAACCGGAGGAAGGUGGGGAUGACGUCAAGUCCUCAUGGCCCUUAUGGGUAGGGCUUCACACGUCAUACAAUGGUACAUACAGAGGGCCGCCAACCCGCGAGGGGGAGCUAAUCCCAGAAAGUGUAUCGUAGUCCGGAUUGGAGUCUGCAACUCGACUCCAUGAAGUUGGAAUCGCUAGUAAUCGCGGAUCAGCAUGUCGCGGUGAAUACGUUCCCGGGUCUUGUACACACCGCCCGUCACACCAUGGGUUCGGGAGUACUGACUAGAAUGUAGAGUAUCUCUAACCGUAAGAAGGCCGAUUCCG